rnacentral:rRNA from 1 species
GUUAGACGGGACCGCACAAGCGGUGGAUGAUGUGGAUUAAUUCGAUGCAACGCGAAAACCUUACCUACCCUUGACAUGUCCGGAAUCCCGAAGAGAUUUGGGAGUGCUCGCAAGAGAGCCGGAACACAGGUGCUGCAUGGCUGUCGUCAGCUCGUGUCGUGAGAUGUUGGGUUAAGUCCCGCAACGAGCGCAACCCUUGUCAUUAGUUGCCAUCAUUUGGUUGGGCACUCCAAUGAGACUGCCGGUGACAAACCGGAGGAAGGUGGGGAUGACGUCAAGUCCUCAUGGCCCUUAUGGGUAGGGCUUCACACGUCAUACAAUGGUCGGUACAGAGGGUUGCCAACCCGCGAGGGGGAGCUAAUCCCACAAAGCCGAUCGUAGUCCGGAUCGCAGUCUGCAACUCGACUGCGUGAAGUCGGAAUCGCUAGUAAUCGUGGAUCAGCAUGUCACGGUGAAUACGUUCCCGGGUCUU